ensembl:lncRNA
AAACAGAACUGCUAAUGCAUCUACUGUUUUUAAGUUUACAUGGUUGCCCAAACACUCAGACAGUUGGUGGGAAAAAUUGGUUUCUGGCUGAGCCAUUUCAGACUGUAAACUCAAAGAGCACAAGACUUUCAUUGAAGGAGGGAUCCAGAUCUGUAUCUUUUGAGUUCAGCAGGGCGGCACAUCAGCUGAACGCUUGUGUUUAGAUGACCAGGGCCAGUGGGCCCCUCUCCGGGGAACAUCACACCAGCUUUGAGAAGAUGAUCGUGUUAAACACUUAUUGUGGUAAUUAUGAUUAUGGUGUGCUUUUAUUUUUAUGCGGCAAUCUAAACUUUAUGCACUGGCAUUACAAUUGCAAAAAAGUCAGUUAUUAAACAGGUUUCCUGAACACUUCCCCAUUUACCAUUGUUUGGAUGCUUUGACCCAAAUUGGUUAAACCAGAAGCUGCUGUCAGACCCAAUGGGGCAAGAAUUGGACUUUUACUUUUACAAUUUUAUUGAUUUUUUUUUCUUUUUUUUUCUUUGUAUGACUUUUAACUGAAUUAUUUGGAUCUUUUAUUGAUUUUUUUAUUGAUUACAAACACACACACACACACGCACAUAUGCAAAUAUAUAUAAAUAUGUAAAUGUAUAUAAAUGUGUGUCCAUUUUCUCUGUAUGGCUCUUUAUUGAAUGAAGUGAAUGCAUAUUUUCCCAAUCUAUUUUGUUUUGUCAUAUUAUAUACUUUGUGUAUUUAUACUAUUUUAAAACUUUAAUUUAUUUUUGAAUCUAAUUGUUCUGAUCUACCAUAUAAAUAUUUAUCAGUGCUCAUAUUAUAUUAUAUAUGUGUCAUAAGGGGUCAAUUUUCUAAAAUAGAAUUUUAUACAUCAUCUGAAAGCUGAAUAAAUAAGCUUUCCAUUGAUGUAUGGUUAUGUUU